rnacentral:rRNA from 1 species
CCUACGGGAGGCAGUAGUGAGGAAUAUUGGUCAAUGGGCGUAAGCCUGAACCAGCCAAGUCGCGUGAGGGAUGAAGGUUCUAUGGAUCGUAAACCUCUUUUAUCAGGGAAUAAAGUGCGGGACGUGUCCCGUUUUGUAUGUACCUUAUGAAUAAGGAUCGGCUAACUCCGUGCCCGCAGCCGCGGUGAUACGGAGGAUCCGAGCGUUAUCCGGAUUUAUUGGGUUUAAAGGGUGCGUAGGCGGCCUUUUAAGUUAGCGGUGAAAGUUUGUGGCUCAACCAUGGAAUUGCCGUUGAAACUGGGGAGCUUGAGAAUGUUUGAGGCAGGCGGAAUGCGUGGUGUAGCGGUGAAAUGCUUAGAUAUCACGCAGAACCCCGAUUGCGAAGGCAGCCUGCCAAGCCAUGACUGACGCUGAUGCACGAAAGCGUGGGGAGCAAACAGGAUUAGAUACCCUUGUAGUC